GAUAGAUUUCUGACGUGGUUUUGGAAGAUAAAUUCAGUGAUCUACUCCUGUAAGUUUUCUUUCUAUUCUUUACUAACAUGUAUUUCACAUACUCUUGUAAAUAGUAUGAAAUUGUCUAUUUUUGAUGUUGGUUUGAUACAAGUCUGACAAAAUGUUGUAAGACUGAUUUUGUAAAUCCAUAAUAAUCUAUCAAGUGUAUAUCAAGUGUAUACAAUGUAUUAUUGUAAAGACAUAAUGUCAAUAUUGUAUUUUAUGUGGAGAUACCUUAAUUAUUGCAACUUUGCUAAUUAGUAUAUUUUAUUUGUGUAUAGGACCCUGGGUCAACCUGUUUAGAUCUAAUCAGAAGAUUAGAUUGCCAGAGAAAGUUCAGCCCAUAGCAGAACUUGAAUUGAAUCUGGAAUUCGGAUACUGAACCGAAAUGGAUUAAAUAAAUUAUAAGAACAAC